UACGUAGGGUGCAAGCGUUGUCCGGAAUUACUGGGCGUAAAGGGCUCGUAGGCGGCCAACUAAGUCAUACGUGAAAUCCCUCAGCUUAACUGGGGGAACUGCGUGUGAUACUGGAUGGCUUGGAUUUGGGAGAGGGAUGCGGAAUUCCAGGUGUAGCGGUGAAAUGCGUAGAUAUCUGGAGGAACACCGGUGGCGAAGGCGGCAUCCUGGACCAAUAUUGACGCUGAGGAGCGAAAGCCAGGGGAGCAAACGGGAU
rnacentral:rRNA from 1 species